UAGGGAAUCUUCGGCAAUGGGGGGAACCCUGACCGAGCAACGCCGCGUGAGUGAAGAAGGUUUUCGGAUCGUAAAGCUCUGUUGUUAAGGAAGAACGAGUGUGAGAAUGGAAAGUUCAUGCUGUGACGGUACUUAACCAGAAAGGGACGGCUAACUACGUGCCAGCAGCCGCGGUAAUACGUAGGUGGCAAGCGUUGUCCGGAUUUAUUGGGCGUAAAGCGAGCGCAGGCGGUCAAUUAAGUCUGAUGUGAAAGCCCCCGGCUCAACCGGGGAGGGUCAUUGGAAACUGGUUGACUUGAGUGCAGAAGAGGAGAGUGGAAUUCCAUGUGUAGCGGUGAAAUGCGUAGAUAUAUGGAGGAACACCGGUGGCGAAAGCGACUCUCUGGUCUGUAACUGACGCUGAGGCUCGAAAGCGUGGGUAGCAAACAGG
rnacentral:rRNA from 1 species